rnacentral:rRNA from 1 species
AAAAUGUACCGGGGCUAAACAUAUUACCGAAGCUGUGGAUUGUCCUUUGGACAAUGGUAGGAGAGCGUUCUAAGGGCGUUGAAGCAUGAUCGUAAGGACAUGUGGAGCGCUUAGAAGUGAGAAUGCCGGUGUGAGUAGCGAAAGACGGGUGAGAAUCCCGUCCACCGAUUGACUAAGGUUUCCAGAGGAAGGCUCGUCCGCUCUGGGUUAGUCGGGUCCUAAGCUGAGGCCGACAGGCGUAGGCGAUGGAUAACAGGUUGAUAUUCCUGUACCACCUAUAAUCGUUUUAAUCGAUGGGGGGACGCAGUAGGAUAGGCGAAGCGUGCGAUUGGAUUGCACGUCUAAGCAGUAAGGCUGAGUAUUAGGCAAAUCCGGUACUCGUUAAGGCUGAGCUGUGAUGGGGAGAAGACAUUGUGUCUUCGAGUCGUUGAUUUCACA